rnacentral:rRNA from 1 species
UACGUAGGGGCAAGCGUUGUCCGGAUUAUUGGGCGUAAAGAGCGUGUAGGCGGCCAUACAGGUCAGCUGUGAAAACUCGAGGCUCAACCUCGAGACGUCGGUUGAAACCGUAUGGCUAGAGUCCGGAAGAGGAGAGUGGAAUUCCCGGUGUAGCGGUGAAAUGCGCAGAUAUCGGGAAGAACACCCGUGGCGAAGGCGGCUCUCUGGACGGUACUGACGCUGAGA